GAGAAAUCAGACAACUAAAGGAGAUUAGCUUCUUUCCUUUCUCUUUUCCCCUUCACCUUUAUUUUCUUGCUGCUUCUGCUAAGCAUCUUUUUUUCUCACUUUUUAGCUCCUCUAUCAUUCUUGUUCAUUCUUUACCUUCCUCUUGGUUAAAAAAAAAAGUAUUUUCCCUUAGGUUCUCUUGCUUUAAUUUGAUACUUUGAUUCCAUACUUCCCUCUUAUUUCUUUCCAUUUCUUCAGCUGAAACCUGUUAGUAAAAUCUUUGAUUCUUGUUGAGCUUUGUCUCUCUGGCAUUGAUCAUUUGAUCACAAAGUCUAAUUCCUUUUCUUAUUGGGAUUUUCUCUUUUCCCUAGGAAUUGUUCUUGGACCUUAAAUACCUUUGCUGAAAUUCUUUGUUGAUCCCUUCUUGGUUCUGCUGUUCUAAGCUUAAAAAUCCCACUUUCUUGUUUUUCAUUUCCAAGAUUGUGACUUUCUUACUUCUUCAAUUGUUGGGUGUCUGAGAAUUCCUUUUUUUUAUUCAUUUGUUUGGUUAUUUGUAGUUUGUAUUCUAUUUGUUUGAGCUCAAAAAUCUUUAAAAUUUGCUCUUGUUUCUUUUUCUCCUUGUAAUGGUCUUAUUUUCUGUAUUUCCCUGUUAGUUCUUGGUAUAAAGUUGUUAACUUUACUUCUUCUGUUUUUUCCUUUUGAUUAAUUGAAUUCUGUUGAUCCUAUCUAAAUUGUGUUCUUGAUUCCAUGGGACUUUGUCAUGGAAAACCCAUUGAACCCCCACAAAACUUGUCUGAAAAUCCCAUAAUUCCCAUUGAUAAUGAGGCUGAAUUGAGUUCCCACACAGGAAAAACACCAAAGUUUCCUUUUUACAGUCCAAGUCCUUUGCCUAGUGGAUUCAAGAAUUCCCCAGCUUCCAAUUCUAGUGUAACUUCAACCCCUUUGAGAUUUCUCAAACGCCCAUUUCCACCACCAUCACCAGCUAAGCAUAUUAGGGCAUUGCUUGCUAGGAGACAUGGCUCAAUUAAGCCUAAUGAAGCUACAAUUCCUGAGGGGAGUGAGUGUGAUAUUGGUUUGGAUAAGAAUUUUGGAUACUCAAAGAAUUUCUUAAGCCACUAUGAGCUUGGAGAAGAAGUGGGAAGGGGCCAUUUUGGUUAUACUUCUGCAGCUAAGGGGAAAAAAGGGAGUUUGAAAGGGCAUGAUGUGGCUGUUAAAGUUAUUCCAAAAUCAAAGAUGACCACAGCAAUUGCAAUUGAGGACGUAAGGAGAGAAGUCAAAAUAUUGCGUGCUUUAACAGGAAAUAGGAAUCUGGUUCAAUUCUAUGAUGCCUAUGAGGACGAGGAAAAUGUUUAUAUAGUCAUGGAGUUAUGUAAAGGAGGAGAAUUACUGGACCGGAUACUUGCAAGGGGUGGGAAAUACUCAGAAGAAGAUGCCAAAGCUGUCAUGGUGCAGCUUCUAAGCGUGACAUCGUACUGUCAUCUUCAAGGGGUUGUUCACCGUGACUUAAAGCCUGAGAACUUCCUUUUUGUUUCUAAGGAUGAGAACUCUCCUUUAAAGGCCAUUGACUUUGGUCUUUCUGAUUACGUAAAACCAGAUGAAAGGCUUAAUGAUAUUGUUGGAAGUGCAUGCUAUGUUGCUCCUGAGGUUUUGCAUAGAUCUUAUGGAACAGAAGCGGACAUGUGGAGCAUUGGUGUAAUUGCCUAUAUUCUUCUAUGUGGAAGCAGGCCUUUCUGGGCGCGAACAGAGUCCGGUAUAUUUAGGGCCAUCCUGAAAACUGAUCCAAACUUUGAAGAAACCCCUUGGCCCUCUUUGUCUUCUGAUGCAGUAGACUUUGUAAAAAGAUUGCUGAAUAAGGAUUACCGCAAAAGGCUAACUGCAGCUCAGGCUCUCAGUAAGUCUCCUUGUAAAAUGUCAAUUUUGGGUAUAUCCUCUCAGCAUCCUGUAGUAGACCUUAUAAUAGUGGAUUAAGGAUAUACCUCUACCAGUUUCAAGUUCCUUAAUGUCCUUGUCAAAUCUUGUCUCGAGAAGAACUCAUCGCCGCCAUAGAUGAAGCUAUUCUGACUUCUUGAUAUAACCAAUUUACCUAUGUGGUUUCAUGUUUAUUAUCUUAGUAAUUUAUCAGAUUUUAGCUGUAUUAUUGAUUUCUUAACCUCUCUCAUUACUUGUCUAGGUCAUCCUUGGUUGGCUGGUUAUCAUGAUCAGGUGAGUUCUCUUCAAUACAGAAAGUUGGAUUUUGAAGAAUUCUGUGCUGCAGCGAUAAGUGUACAUCAGCUUGAAGGAAUGGAAAGCUGGGAGCAACAUGCUCGUCGUGGCUAUGAGUUCUUUGAAAAGGAGGGGAACAGGCCUAUUAUGAUAGAGGAACUCGCCUCGGAGCUCGGGCUAAGUCCUUCAGUUCCAGUUCAUGUAGUUCUGAAGGACUGGAUAAGGCAUUCUGAUGGGAAGCUCAGUUUCUUGGGAUUUGUCAGGCUUCUGCAUGGAGUUUCUUCGCGUACAUUUCAAAAAGCUUAGAAUAUAACCUUCCUUUAUGAAUUUAUCCAAUGCUUCAUCUAGCCUUGAGACUAGUAAAUCGAAGAAUCAUAGUCUUGUUGCUUGAUCGAAUGGUGGCAAUAGAUGAUCUGUUAAAUGCUGAUACAGCUGGUUUACGACGAAGCUACAGAUCGUAUUUGAUAAUGCAUGGCAUUAGCAGCAGCAUAUUGGUGUCAAGUCUUAUUGUAAUUCUUCUAUUCUUCAAAUGUUGGAUGGCAUGCCACUUAAGAGGAUUGUACAGAUGAGGAUAAUCAGAAAAGUGUAAGUAGGGUCAGAAAAGACAGCUGAAAGCUGAGAUGAGUUUUUGUGGCUUCUGAGUGUAAAGCCUUGUUUACCAUUCCCUUGGCUUAAUAAAUUCUCUUUAUUGUGCCUGUAAUCUUAGAUCCUUAAUAUAUGGAUUCACUAGCAGUGUCGGUUUAUUGUCGAAUUUCUGCUUGUCAGUGGGUGGAUUUUAAGGCUUCAUUUCUUGUCCCAAAUUGA